rnacentral:rRNA from 1 species
CAGUAACUGCGAGUGAAGAGGGAAGAGCUCAUCAUUGGAAUCUGGCAGUGUUGCACUGUCCGAGUUGUAGAUGAGGAGUAGCCCAUCUGGACUGCAUGGCAUCCAAGUACAAUAGGCCGUCAGUGGGACAUCAUAGAGGGUGACAAUCCCGUCCUUGAUGCCAAUGUGCAAGUCCGCUUACGAUGGCUAUCUCAGAGAGUCGAGCAGUUUGGGAUUUGCUGCUUAAACAUGGGAGGUAGAUUCCUUCUAAAGCUAAAUACAGGCGAGAGACCGAUAGAGAACAAGUACCGCAAGGGAAAGAUGAAAUAGAACUCUGUGAAGGGAGUCAAAAGGCGUGAAAUUGUUGCGAGAGAAGCGAUUCAAGUCAGCGUAGCUAGGCCCAUCAAGCCUCUUUGCUUUGGACUAGCUUUGCCAGCGGUCUUGUCCUAGAGACUUGACUUUGUAUUAACAUGUCCAGCCUGGUAUACACAGGUAGCCCCUCUUGGGGGGCCAGUGGCAUGGCUGGUGGAAUGGCUUGCAAUCGACCCGUCUUGAAACACGGACCAAGGAGUCUAACAUGUAUGCGAGUAUAAGGGUGGCAAACCCGUAUGCGCAAUGAAAGUGAUUUUCGGCGAUUAAGAAUGGCCUGAUGA